UUGUCAGCAAAUCUGAUGCUCCCCUCUUGCUCUUGCUCUUGAUCUUCAAUGGUCUCCAAGUUGCUUCAAUCUCCAAAACUAAUAAGAACUAGGGUUAUUUUCUAAUCUAAAGGAGUGUUUAAUCUAGGCUAAGCUAUGUAAUCUCCCUUUAUUUUAUGCCUUACAUCAUGUAUUUAUAGGUUACAAGUCUAAUUUUGAGCUUAGGAACAAACCCAAUCCUAUUUGGAGUCAAAAAGGUGUCAAAAUUCGCCCAAAACGCGUCCAGGCCGCACCAAACCCUUCCCCCAGC
rnacentral:lncRNA from 1 species